UUACUCUGGUUUCUCUUCAGAUCAUAUAAAUCUUUUGCCUUUUACUAAAGAGUUCUGUGGAGAGGAACAUUUACGAGUGUUUUGUGAAUUUUUUGAGGCUCUACUUGGGAGCCA